GUAUUUAUAUAGUAAAUAAUAUUUGUUAUUUAAGCUCUUUAUGUUAUUAAGUAAACGAAAUUAUAUAGAAGAUAUAAUUAUUUGGUUUGUAAUUCAAAGAUAGGUUUAAAAUUAUCUCAGGCGAAGCCUGUGCCAGCCGCCGCGGUUAUACAGGCUGAGAGAAAAUAUUAAUAUUAUAAUAAUAAAAUUUUAUGAUAAGUUUUUACAUGUGGGUGAAAUUAGUGUUUAAAUUUAUAAGUUUGUUUUAAAUGAAUUUUGGUUUAAAUUAGGAUUAGAUACCCUAUUAUUCAAGAACUUUAAGUUGGUAGUAUUUUUUAAGUUUUGAAAUCUAAAGAUUAUGGCGGUAUUUUAAGCUAUUUAGAGGAAUUUAUUCUUUAAUGGAUAAAGCUCAGGGAUCUUACUUGGAUUGGUUAAGCAGUUUGUAUAUCGCUAUCAUAGAAUAAUGUUGAUUAGUUAAUGAUUAGAAUUAUAUUUUGUAAGAAUGUUAGGUCAAAAUGCAGCAAAAAUUUAAGGUUGAAAUAAAUUACUUUUAUUUAUAUAUGAGUUUUUGAAAAUAGGGUUUAGGAUUUAAAAGUAAAUUUGAAUUAUAAUGUUUAGUUGAAUUUAGCUCUAAAAUAUGCACAUAUCGCCCGUCACUCUCAGAGAUGAGAUAAGUCGUAACAAAGUAAAAGUACCGGAAGGUGUUUU
rnacentral:ncRNA from 1 species